UUACGACCAAAUCACGUUUAAAAAACAGUUCCCGUACGAUCACCGAAGUUAAGCAACGUCGAGCUUGGGCAGUAGCUCGAUGGGUGACCGUUUGUGGAUACCAGGUGUUGUAGG